CCAGCUCGUGCUCCGACUGCGCCCACGUCACCCCUCGCCGAAACGGCAGCCCCGCGGCGGCGCCCCCAAAUUCCAACCCUCCCCUGAACCCUACCUCCUCCCUCCCCACCCCAAUCCACCCCACGCCAUGGCCCUUUCCCGCCGCCUCCUCCCGCUCUUCCUCCGCGGCGGCGCCCCCGCCUUCCGCGCCCUCUCCACGGCUGCCGCGCCCGCAGCGGCGGCGGCCUCCGUGGAGGAGAAGGAAUCCAUCACUGUGAAGGGCGUGCGCAUCUCGGGCCGCCCGUUGUACAUGGACAUGCAGGCGACGACCCCCGUGGACCCGCGGGUGCUCGACGCCAUGCUCCCCUUCUACCUCUCGCGCUAUGGGAACCCGCACUCCCGCACGCACCUCUACGGCUGGGAGUCCGACUCCGCCGUCGAGGCCGCGCGCGCCCGAGUCGCCUCCCUUGUCGGCGCCGACCCGCGCGAGAUCUUCUUCACCUCGGGCGCCACCGAGUGCAACAACAUCGCCGUCAAGGGCGUCAUGCGCUUCUACCGCGACCGCCGCCGCCACGUCAUCACCACGCAGACCGAGCACAAGUGCGUGCUCGACUCCUGCCGCUACCUGCAGCAGGAGGGAUUCGAGGUCACCUACCUCCCCGUGCGCAGCGACGGGCUCGUCGACCUCGCGCAGCUCGAGGACGCCAUCCGCCCCGACACCGGCCUCGUCUCCGUCAUGGCCGUCAACAACGAGAUCGGCGUCGUGCAGCCGCUCGAGGAGAUUGGGCGCAUAUGCAAAGAGAAAGGCGUGCCGUUCCACACUGACGCCGCGCAGGCGCUGGGGAAGAUCCCGAUUGAUGUGAACAGGAUGGGGAUUGGGCUCAUGUCCCUCUCCGGGCACAAGAUUUAUGGCCCCAAGGGCGUAGGGGCGCUCUACCUUCGCCGGCGUCCGCGUAUCAGGGUGGAGCCGCAGAUGAGUGGUGGUGGGCAGGAGCGUGGCAUCCGCAGUGGCACCGUGCCCACACCACUUGUUGUUGGAUUUGGUGCUGCCUGUGAGAUUGCGGCUCAAGAGAUGGAUUAUGACCAUAGGCGAGUCAGUGCUCUGCAGCAGAGGCUGCUUGAUGGCAUUCUUGCGCAGGUCGAUGAGGUUGUCAUCAAUGGAAGCAUGGAACACCGUUACCCAGGCAACCUGAACUUGUCAUUUGCAUAUGUGGAGGGAGAGAGCUUGCUGAUGGGGCUGAAAGAGGUGGCUGUGUCGAGCGGUAGUGCCUGCACCAGUGCCAGCUUGGAACCCUCAUACGUGCUGCGGGCACUUGGGGUGGAGGAGGACAUGGCGCACACCUCUAUUCGCUUUGGCAUUGGCCGCUUUACCACCGAGGAAGAGGUUGACAGAGCAAUUGAGCUCACUGUGCGUCAGGUGAAGAAACUCCGUGACAUGAGCCCACUCUAUGAGAUGGCCAAGGCUGGCAUUGACCUCAAGAGCAUCGAGUGGUCUCAGCACUGAGGCAGUUUGCAUGACAAUUAGUCACUCGUAAGUUCUCUAGAUGUCCACGGGACGCAUACAUAGGUGUAUGGCUCUUAGUUGCCUGCCCUUUGUUAUAUCCUGUUUUCUUUCAAAAGAGAAGCUGCCAUGGUUGCCUUGGACCCAUGUUUCCAUCACCAGGCUUUGUCUGCAACUGGUGAAGACAUUCCUGCAGGUGCAAUCAUCUCGUAGUUCUGUUAUACGGGAAUGGAUUCUUCGGCUGUCGGAAGGCUGAGAUGUAUAUGUAUUCCUGAGGUUUACCUAUGCCUUUUUUAAGGUAUAGUGUGUUGACAAAAAAAUAAGGACACCUCAAAUACUUGGUAUUGUCUGAAAUACAAUUUCAAGGAGCAGUGUCAAUGCUGUAAAUAUAUUUUGGUCUGGUAUAAA